ensembl:lncRNA
CACCACACGUGGAAUGGUUGAAGGACAGAGGGAUACUUAGUUUGGAGAAGACUCCAGUUUGCCAUGUGACUUGUGUUCAGAUCCACCAGCUCUUUGAGAUAAGAAAGCUGAAGAGAGAGGUUACGAUACUUGCCCCAGGUCACAUAGCAAGCAUAUGGCGAUGUUUGUUAACUCAGGUGACUGGCCCUGCCACAGGUUGCCAUGGGAAUGAGAUGCACAAGUGACCUGAAUAUUCUGGUUACCUACACAGACUUUACAGAAGUGGACCUGGCCUCACUGCAUGGCACAUCCCCAGAUGAGCAUGUCCUCAUCCAUGGGUUGUUUCAUCCAUGGAUUUAUUGCCGUAAAAUUGUCCUCCUCAUCCUUCUCUGUAUAUACCGCUCACCCUGUUGGUCCUUCAAUUUUUUUCCUAGUCUUUUCCUCUGGGGGACUUGCUUGAUUCCACUGAUAAUAAAAGGAAAGUAGUAGAGCAUUUCUGGAGAAGGCAAUGGCACCCCACUCCAGUACUCUUGCCUGGAAAAUCCCAUGGAUGGAGGAGCCUGGUGGGCUGCAGUCCAUGGGGUCGCGAAGAGUCAGACACGACUGAGCGACUUCACUUUUACUUUUCACUUUCACUUUUCACUUUCAUGCAUUGGAGAAGGAAAUGGC